UCCACGCUGUCCCGCUGCCGGGUCCGGCCGGCACCGGCCGCUGAGCACCGCGGCCUCCUGGUGCAGGGCCACAACUGGAGAGCGCACGUGGACCUUGCAGGGUCACGUGGAUGUAGCCGCCGAACUGGACCAGCUGAGGUCCAAGAGGGAGAAAACUGAGGCGAAACUUGCUGCUCUAGACGCCCUUAUGCAAACGAACAAGUUCGGAAGGCGACCGACGAAAAUGAAGGAUCAAGGAAGAGCUCGGAGAGUACUGCUUGCAGAAGAAGUGGAGAGAUUGAAAGAAUGUGAAGAUGACAUAAGUGGGCUGAGUUGACGGCCACCAUCAAGUAUUCGCUUUCGUCGAAACGCUUUUGGUUCGGUCCUGUAGCCGAAAUGUGUGCAGUAGGUGCGAUGUGAAACUGACGCAUGUUUGAAAAUAUAGGGACCUCAGUGGACACCAAAAUGCUUUAUAAGA